rnacentral:rRNA from 1 species
GUCGAGCGGCGGACGGGUGAGUAAUGCCUAGGAAAUUGCCCUGAUGUGGGGGAUAACCAUUGGAAACGAUGGCUAAUACCGCAUAAUGCCUACGGGCCAAAGAGGGGGACCUUCGGGCCUCUCGCGUCAGGAUAUGCCUAGGUGGGAUUAGCUAGUUGGUGAGGUAAUGGCUCACCAAGGCGACGAUCCCUAGCUGGUCUGAGAGGAUGAUCAGCCACACUGGAACUGAGACACGGUCCAGACUCCUACGGGAGGCAGCAGUGGGGAAUAUUGCACAAUGGGCGCAAGCCUGAUGCAGCCAUGCCGCGUGUGUGAAGAAGGCCUUCGGGUUGUAAAGCACUUUCAGUCGUGAGGAAGGUAGUGUAGUUAAUAGCUGCAUUAUUUGACGUUAGCGACAGAAGAAGCACCGGCUAACUCCGUGCCAGCAGCCGCGGUAAUACGGAGGGUGCGAGCGUUAAUCGGAAUUACUGGGCGUAAAGCGCAUGCAGGUGGUUUGUUAAGUCAGAUGUGAAAGCCCGGGGCUCAACCUCGGAAUAGCAUUUGAAACUGGCAGACUAGAGUACUGUAGAGGGGGGUAGAAUUUCAGGUGUAGCGGUGAAAUGCGUAGAGAUCUGAAGGAAUACCGGUGGCGAAGGCGGCCCCCUGGACAGAUACUGACACUCAGAUGCGAAAGCGUGGGGAGCAAACAGGAUUAGAUACCCUGGUAGUCCACGCCGUAAACGAUGUCUACUUGGAGGUUGUGGCCUUGAGCCGUGGCUUUCGGAGCUAACGCGUUAAGUAGACCGCCUGGGGAGUACGGUCGCAAGAUUAAAACUCAAAUGAAUUGACGGGGGCCCGCACAAGCGGUGGAGCAUGUGGUUUAAUUCGAUGCAACGCGAAGAACCUUACCUACUCUUGACAUCCAGAGAACUUUCCAGAGAUGGAUUGGUGCCUUCGGGAACUCUGAGACAGGUGCUGCAUGGCUGUCGUCAGCUCGUGUUGUGAAAUGUUGGGUUAAGUCCCGCAACGAGCGCAACCCUUAUCCUUGUUUGCCAGCGAGUAAUGUCGGGAACUCCAGGGAGACUGCCGGUGAUAAACCGGAGGAAGGUGGGGACGACGUCAAGUCAUCAUGGCCCUUACGAGUAGGGCUACACACGUGCUACAAUGGCGCAUACAGAGGGCAGCAAGCUAGCGAUAGUGAGCGAAUCCCAAAAAGUGCGUCGUAGUCCGGAUUGGAGUCUGCAACUCGACUCCAUGAAGUCGGAAUCGCUAGUAAUCGUGGAUCAGAAUGCCACGGUGAAUACGUUCCCGGGCCUUGUACACACCGCCCGUCACACCAUGGGAGUGGGCUGCAAAAGAAGUAGGUAG